AUUAGGGUGGCGAUGGUCAGUUCUUGAGCUUCAAACGAGCAAAAAGCUAAACAACAAGAUGAGGGUGGCGAUGGUCAGUUCUUGAGCUUCGAACAAGCAGAAAGCUAAACAACAAGAUGAGGGUGGCGAUGGUCAGUUCUUGAGCUUCAAACGAGCAAAAAG